ACUUGUAUAACUAAUUUAAGUGCUGGGUUCUUACCUCAGCAAUGUGUGCUACACUACAGGUU
rnacentral:tRNA from 1 species